rnacentral:rRNA from 1 species
CCUACGAGCGGCAGCAGUGAGGAAUAUUGGUCAAUGGACGAGAGUCUGAACCAGCCAAGUAGCGUGAAGGAUGACUGCCCUAUGGGUUGUAAACUUCUUUUAUAUGGGAAUAAAAUGUUCCACGUGUGCCUUUUUGUAUGUACUUUAUGAAUAAGGAUCGGCUAACUCCGUGCCAGCAGCCGCGGUAAUACGGAGGAUCUGAGCGUUAUCCGGAUUUAUUGGGUUUAAAGGGAGCGUAGAUGGGUUGUUAAGUCAGUUGUGAAAGUUUGCGGCUCAACCGUAAAAUUGCAAUUGAUACUGGCAGUCUUGAGUACAGUUGAGGUAGGCGGAAUUCGUGGUGUAGCGGUGAAAUGCUUAGAUAUCACGAAGAACUCCGAUUGCGAAGGCAGCUUACUAAACUGCCACUGACAUUGAUGCUCGAAAGUGUGGGUAUCAAACAGGAUUAGAUACCCCUGUAGUC